rnacentral:lncRNA from 1 species
UGGCAAAGUCCGGAAAAUUUCAUAAUACAAAUACUAUUUGCCUUUAUUGAACGAUCACCUCUAUUAAGCGGACGAGGUCACUUUUUCCACGGUCCCAAACUUAAUUUUUCAUUGUUUUGAAACUCUAUUAAACGGUCAGUGGAAAGGAACUAGAGCAAACAUAAUACAAUAUAUAAUUAAAUCUUUAUUUGGCAACAUGUCAAAGUCUUUAUCUCAUUUAAUACUCGAACAACAGUAAUCACUGAAGGUGUCAACAGUAUAUUCAGUUUGUGCAGUAGUGAUUUUCUACAAGACCUGUAUUAAGCGGUCAACCUGUAUUGAGCGGUAACUUGCGAAAUCGCCGAGGGUGACCGCUUAAUACAGGUUCGACUGCAAUAUUUUUUAAACAAAAUUAUCAUGCAUAUACUACUAUUACCUAUAAAAAUGUACCAAACAAAAUUUUUUAUUGUUACUUUUGGCUUCUUGAUUACUUUCACAAAACAAUAUAAAAAAAGCCUGACAUUAAUCCUUUAGCUCCAACGGUCAAAAAAUUUGUCGAAAAUUUACUAAUGAUUAUUCCCUUAACUCAGGUCUUUGUAUCACGAUUUACUUUCUUUUAGAGAUCAGUGGGUGCAUAGCUGUUAGAUGUACACUAUACCUGAUCAUAGAAAGAGUUGUAAAAAUUAGUAUAUUUUGUACCCACAGCUUUCUAGUAAAACAUCAUAAGGUGGAAACUGUAAUAAGGUAUUAGUUUAGCAUUAUUGAGAGUGUAAUAUUAGUGAAUUUCGAAUCUACAGUGUGUGUAAAAAAAAACUGAACCCUUUCAAAUUCAAAUUAGCUAUAACGUAUUGUAGUAAUUUGACAGCUCUAAUUGCUUUAAAUUAAUGGUUGGAUAAGAACACUAUAGGUCUUGUACUCAUGGAACAAAACUCAAAGAAAUAAAAAUUAGAAAAUUUAAAAGAAAUACAGUAUUCCUUGUGUUCUUACCCAACCAUUAAUUCAAGGCAAUUAGAGAUGUCAAAUUACUACAAUACGUUAUAGCUAAUUUGAAUUUGAAAGGGUUCAGUUUUUUUUUAUACACCCUGUAUUUUGAUUCAUCUUCAGUAGUAUCUUUACGUAAUAUUAGUAAUUAUUCAAUAAACUUAAUUUCUA